CGUAGCUUAGCGAGCUAAACGCUAGCUACAAUAUAUGAACUAUAUAAACAUAAUAAUGAUAAUGAAGUCUAACUUAGUUUGCUAAAUUACGUGGAAUAUUGGAGACAGACAUAGUUUAAACGUUUAAAUUAGAUUUUGACAUUCUGAAAUGUAUUUGCCAGUACAGUUUGUGGAAAAACAGCAUGCUAGAACUUAGUUAUGAUAUACUAGAUGACGCUUGAUGUUGAAACUAUGUUUUACUUCUACAUGCGUGUAGUGUCAAAUAUUAUCCAGGGACAGGUAGUUGUCUAGAUGCUUCAGAUCCAUGAAGAAAAAUGAGGAACCGCACAAGCUGCAGGUUUGAAACGGUCAGAAAACCUGUUGGCACUUGUUCGUUAGUUCAAGUUCCUGUUCAUGUUUGACAGCUGAAGAACUUUCACGUACGACUUCUGGACUACUCGGAGCUUAUUCUAACAUCUUCCUGUUCAGUGGUUACUAUUUGUUUUCUGUUGCGGUUGCAACAGUCUGUGUUUUUUUUUCUGCUGUUGUUGAACCUUACCUUCAAACUAGAAUCUAUUACUUAUUUAAAGCUAAACAUGCUAUAUGUAUUGAUGUAUAUAUGUGUUGCUAAAACACUUGUCUAUUUUAGAUAUCACUGGGUGUUGGAAAAGAAAAGGCUGAAUUAUUGGAUUAUACAAAUUUGAUGAAAUAAUGAAAAGAGAAAGCAAACAAGAUGUAUAAACUUUGCAAUCAUGUAGUUGCACUUCUUUACCAGACUGCACACUACUCCCAACUCUAGCUGCCAACUGUUCUUCCUGCACUGGCCUGCAGAAGUGAUUUACAAAGAUGGCACAGACCAAGAACACAAAUAAGAAAAAAAGAGUGGAACACAUUGUCCUGUGGUAUGUGAUAUCCUACCAUAUACUAAAUAUACUACAUAUACUAAAUUACAUAUACUGUCAUAUAUAUGAUCUUAAAAUAACAGUACUAUAGUUAUGUACACAAUUUAUUCCUCCUUUGAUUGUGUCGCACAGCCAUUUACAUUCCUUUCCCACCUGUAUUUUAUAAUUGCCAUAUAAAAUUUGUUGUAAUCUCAAUAUUGUGUCAAAUAUAAUUUCUUUUUUGUAGGCAAUGAGAAAAAUACAGGCUCAACUGCUAUCAUUUAGUUUUAUUUGCAAGUUGGGUAAAAUUCUAAACUGUGCCAAAUCAGUCCCAUUAUGUCCUAAGAAAUUGCUCACCCAUCCCUUUAUUUGUUCUUUAGUUUGACAUAUCUUUAUGUGUAUUUCUUGUAAGGGGAUACAUCCUGAGCCUGUCAGCGACGUGGUGGUGCGGAAACUAUGGGGAAAUAUCUCCACUCCACAAUUUACAGAGCUUACACAGGACCACUUCCAGAUCCUGACAUUCUGGCAUCAGGAGAAAAACUACACCAGCUGGAGUACCAACCACUUAUUGCUCUUGUCCUAAAUGGUCUUUCAAAUUUGGAGCUGGUUCCAUCCAAAUUUGGUCCUGUGCCACAGGGUUCACCAAUGUCUUAUCAGUGCCCACCUUAGAAGUCCUCUGGUAGCAUCAUUCUGCACCACAUGGCUCCAGACUUCCCUUCUCUUCCUUUGAUGCUGCAUAGUCUUCCGAAUAUGUUUUGUGCCCACACUCGGUCAACUUAUGCAUCUUCAGUCUCUGCAAGUGUCACUGGAAAUGUCUUAUGAAAUAGAGGCCAGAACAAGAGAGCAGUCCGCAUGUCCUGCAUGGGUACAUCUUCGACAGCCAAGACUUACUGCUAGCCGUUUCCGUGAUGCUUGCAGAGGAAGUGCAGAGGAGGAGUCUGCUGCCACAGCACUGGCAUCUCGGAUGAUCAGGGGGUCCACUAGACAAACUGCCGCUGAUAGGUAUUUUUCCUUUCGAACCUAAAUAAAAGAAAGAACCACAGACAACGUAUUAUGAAUUUUAUAGCCAAGCUUUUGCAAAAGGAGAAAACACAGAGAACUGCUCCUCUGACCAGUUCACCAUGUGUUCUGAAACUCUGCAGUAGAGCUUGUCUUUUUAUUAACACAAGACAAAAGCAAAGGGGGCUGGUGCUGAUAAGAUUAGAAGCCCCCGAAACGAACACAAUCAAACACAGUUUUACGACUAAGGAAUUUCUACCUAGGGGACAGUCAGGAAAAACAACAAAGGUCGUAAAACUUCUGAUAUAAUCAACUAGCAACCCACUUCCUAGGU